rnacentral:rRNA from 1 species
GAUGAACGCUGGCGGCGUGCCUAAUACAUGCAAGUCGAGCGAACGGACGAGUAGCUUGCUUCUCUGAUGUUAGCGGCGGACGGGUGAGUAACACGUGGAUAACCUACCUAUAAGACUGGGAUAACUUCGGGAAACCGUAGCUAAUACCGGAUAAUAUUUUGAACCGCAUGGUUCAAAAGUGAAAGACGGUCUUGCUGUCACUUAUAGAUGUAUCCGCGCUGCAUUAGCUAGUUGGUAAGGUAACGGCUUACCAAGGCAACGAUGCAUAGCCGACCUGAGAGGGUGAUCAGCCACACUGGAACUGAGACACGGUCCAGACUCCUACGGGAGGCAGCAGUAGGGAAUCUUCCGCAAUGGGCGAAAGCCUGACGGAGCAACGCCGCGUGAGUGAUGAAGGUCUUCGGAUCGUAAAACUCUGUUAUUAGGGAAGAACAUAUGUGUAAGUAACUGUGCACAUCUUGACGGUACCUAAUCAGAAAGCCACGGCUAACUACGUG